UACGUAGGGUGCGAGCGUUGUCCGGAAUUAUUGGGCGUAAAGGGCUCGUAGGCGGUUUGUCGCGUCGGGAGUGAAAACCUCGGGCUUAACUCGGGGCUUGCUUUCGAUACGGGCAGACUGGAGGUAUGCAGGGGAGAACGGAAUUCCUGGUGUAGCGGUGAAAUGCGCAGAUAUCAGGAGGAACACCGGUGGCGAAGGCGGUUCUCUGGGCAUGACCUGACGCUGAGGAGCGAAAGUAUGGGGAGCGAACAGG
rnacentral:rRNA from 1 species